GAUGAACGCUGGCGGCGUGCCUAAUACAUGCAAGUCGAGCGAACAGACGAGGAGCUUGCCCCUCUGAUGUUAGCGGCGGACGGGUGAGUAACACGUGGAUAACCUACCUAUAAGACUGGGAUAACUUCGGGAAACCGGAGCUAAUACCGGAUAACAUGUUGAACCGCAUGGUUCAACAGUGAAAGACGGUCUUGCUGUCACUUAUAGAUGGAUCCGCGCCGCAUUAGCUAGUUGGUAAGGUAACGGCUUACCAAGGCAACGAUGCGUAGCCGACCUGAGAGGGUGAUCGGCCACACUGGAACUGAGACACGGUCCAGACUCCUACGGGAGGCAGCGGUAGGGAAUCUUCCGCAAUGGGCGAAAGCCUGACGGAGCAACGCCGCGUGAGUGAAGAAGGUCUUCGGAUCGUAAAACUCUGUUAUUAGGGAAGAACAAAUGUGUAAGUAACUAUGCACGUCUUGACGGUACCUAAUCAGAAAGCCACGGCUAACUACGUG
rnacentral:rRNA from 1 species